rnacentral:rRNA from 1 species
GAGCUCGUAGGCGGUUUGUCGCGUCUGUCGUGAAAGUCCGGGGCUUAACCCCGGAUCUGCGGUGGGUACGGGCAGACUAGAGUGCAGUAGGGGAGACUGGAAUUCCUGGUGUAGCGGUGGAAUGCGCAGAUAUCAGGAGGAACACCGAUGGCGAAGGCAGGUCUCUGGGCUGUAACUGACGCUGAGGAGCGAAAGCAUGGGGAGCGAACAGGAUUAGAUACCCUGGUAGUCCAUGCCGUAAACGUUGGGCACUAGGUGUGGGGACCAUUCCACGGUUUCCGCGCCGCAGCUAACGCAUUAAGUGCCCCGCCUGGG